UCUAGACCGAUGAUGCGAUUACAAAUCUGCGUUAUCUAUCUGCAAUUUCCUGCUAGGAAUUGAAGAUAAACGUAUAAUCUCUGAGAUCUGUU